rnacentral:sRNA from 1 species
CCAGUCCAGGGGACAAAUCAAUAGGAAAUGCUAU